GUAGGGAAUAUUGCACAAUGGGCGAAAGCCUGAUGCAGCAACGCCGCGUGUACGAUGAAGGUCUUCGGAUCGUAAAGUACUUUUCAGGGAGAUGAGAAAGGACAGUACCCCUGGAAUAAGUCUCGGCUAACUACGUGCCAGCAGCCGCGGUAAAACGUAGGAGGCGAGCGUUAUCCGGAUUUACUGGGUGUAAAGCGCGUGCAGGCGGUUUGAUAAGUUGGAUGUGAAAGCUCCUGGCUCAACUGGGAGAGGUCGUUCAAAACUAUCAGACUAGAGAGUGGUAGAGGAAAGUGGAAUUCCCGGUGUAGUGGUGAAAUGCGUAGAUAUCGGGAGGAACACCAGUGGCGAAGGCGGCUUUCUGGACCAUUUCUGACGCUCAGACGCGAAAGCUAGGGUAGCAAACGGGAUUAGAUACCCGUGUAGUCC
rnacentral:rRNA from 1 species